GCCACUCGUCAGUAGGCAGCAAGGCCUCUGCGGUUGUGGGCUGUGCCCAUGACUCCAGGCCAACAUGUAAUUAUAUCGCCGUGGGUAACGAGGUGAGCGCCGGCGACGCCGCGGAGAUGCUGCUCGCCUGCUCCGUAUCAUCCUGGCUGCUGGCCGAGUGAGGAGGCACGGGCGUGCAUAGAACAAAGCCACACUUCGAAUGUCGACGUGCGCCGCCCUGACACAGAGCGCAAGGAGUCCAUCCUCGCUCCCGUGUACGCCAUCUAUCUUGUGGUCUGAUGGCACAUCGCGGGUACUAGAGUCCACCAUGCGACAACCGUCGAUGUUUUCUUCAUCGUGAACAAAGGCGCUCGGCUACUGCUAAUCGUCCUGCCUAGAGUUCGCACAGCAGCAGCAACACGUCCGUCCAUCCAGGCUGCUGCCAUGGGCCUGCAGGCCCUCGGGCCGGGGUUCUGCCAACCAACCGGCCUGCCAAGAAUUCACGCAUAAAAGUCCGAUCCUAGAGGCCAUUUGGAGGGUGGCCUGCUACAAGCCUACAAGGGAGGGAGAGAGAGGAUGCUUGGCAGUCUCGUUUUCUGGCUGAUUUCGUGUAAGCAGAUCGGGAGCAGCUUUUCAGUGAACAAUUUGGUCAUCGAUCGCGAAAUUGUACUCUAAAGUAGACAUGUGCAUCGAUGGUCACAUGCGAAGUCUUUUGUACCUUAUGAUCAAGAAAAGACUUGUCCGCUCAAAUCUGAAUUGGAUACUCAGCUUACUGUCUUU
rnacentral:lncRNA from 7 species